rnacentral:rRNA from 1 species
AGAGUUUGAUCAUGGCUCAGGAUGAACGCUAGCUACAGGCUUAACACAUGCAAGUCGAGGGGAAACGAUAUUGAAAGCUUGCUUUCUUUAGGCGUCGACCGGCGAAUGGGUGAGUAACGCGUAUCCAACCUGCCCCUGAGUAAGGGAUAGCCCAUCGAAAGAUGGAUUAAUACCUUAUGGUUUCCUUUGAAGGCAUCAGAUUAGGAAUAAAGAUUUAUCGCUGAGGGAUGGGGGAUGCGUCUGAUUAGCUUGUUGGCGGGGUAACGGCCCACCAAGGCGACGAUCAGUAGGGUUCUGAGAGGAAGGUCCCCCACAUUGGUACUGAGACACGGACCAAACUCCUACGGGAGGCAGCAGUGAGGAAUAUUGGUCAAUGGGCGCAAGCCUGAACCAGCCAAGUAGCGUGCAGGAUGACUGCCCUAUGGGUUGUAAACUGCUUUUAUACGGGGAUAAAGUCAGGGUCGUGACCCUGUUUGCAGGUACCGUAUGAAUAAGGACCGGCUAAUUCCGUGCCAGCCGCCGC